rnacentral:rRNA from 1 species
CACGUAGGGCGCGAGCGUUGUCCGGAAUUAUUGGGCGUAAAGAGCUCGUAGGCGGCCUGUUGCGUCCGCUGUGAAAGCCCGGGGCUUAACCCCGGGUCGGCAGUGGAUACGGGCAGGCUAGAGGUAGGUAGGGGAGAAUGGAAUUCCCGGUGUAGCGGUGAAAUGCGCAGAUAUCGGGAGGAACACCGGUGGCGAAGGCGGUGGUCUGGGCCGGCACUGACGCUGAGGAGCGAAAGCGUGGGGAGCGAACAGG